AGCUGCGAUAAAUAGUGCGAAUUGCAGACGCAUUGAGCACAAAGAUUUCGAACGCACAUUGCACCAUUGGGUUGAUUCCCCAUGGUACGUCUGGUGGAGGGUCAAU
rnacentral:rRNA from 1 species